UAGUCAUAUGCUUGUCUCAAAGAUUAAGCCAUGCAUGUGUAAGUAUAAGUAUUGUACAGCGAAACUGCGAAUGGCUCAUUAAAUCAGUUAUAGUUUAUUUGAUAAUCGAAAGUUACAUGGAUAACCGUGACAAAUUACAGCUAAUACAUGCAGCAAAACUCCUAUGGAGUUGUAAUUAUUAGUACUAAACCAAUUCCUUCGGGAAUGUGAUGAAUCAUAGUAAUCGAACGAAUCGCAGAAUUCUGCGAUAAAUCAUUCAAGUUUCUGCCCUAUCAG
rnacentral:rRNA from 1 species